rnacentral:rRNA from 1 species
AGACGGAGGGUCCUAGCGUUGUUCGGAAUAACUGGGCGUAAAGGGUACGUAGGCGGUUUGGUCAGUUAGAUGUGAAAGCCCAGGGCUCAACCUUGGAACUGCAUUUAAUACUGCCAGACUUGAGAUCGGAAGAGGAAAGCGGAAUUCCUAGUGUAGAGGUGAAAUUCGUAGAUAUUAGGAGGAACAUCAGAGGAGAAGGCGGCUUUCUGGUCCGAUACUGACGCUGAGGUACGAAAGCGUGGGGAGCAAACAGGAUUAGAUACCCUUGUAGUCC